AAGGGUUUGGCUUAUUAAAGUGGUUGAUUUGCAUUCAACUGAUGCAAAAUAGAGUCUUGCAGUCCUUA
rnacentral:tRNA from 1 species